CCUACGGGCGGCAGCAGUGAGGAAUAUUGGUCAAUGGGCGGGAGCCUGAACCAGCCACGUCGCGUGAGGGAAGACGGUCCUAUGAAUUGUAAACCUCUUUAGGCGGGGAGCAAUGCCGGGCACGCGUGCACGGAGGGAGAGUACCCGCAGAAUAAGCAUCGGCUAACUCCGUGCCAGCAGCCGCGGUAGUUGGAAGGAUGCGAGCGUUAUCCGGAUUUAUUGGGUUUAAAGGGUGCGUAGGCGGCUUUUUAAGUCCGCGGUAAAAUGUCCGGGCUAAACCUGGGCCGGCCGUUGAAACUGGGGAUCUUGAGUGGGCGAGAAGAAUGCGGAAUGCGGUGUGUAGCGGUGAAAUGCAUAGAGAUCAGGCAGAACUCCGAUGGCGAAGGCAGCAUACCGGCGCCCGACUGACGCUGAGGCACGAAAGCGUGGGGAUCGAACAGGAUUAGAUACCCCAGUAGUC
rnacentral:rRNA from 1 species